AUUGAACGCUGGCGGCAGGCCUAACACAUGCAAGUCGAACGGUAACAGGAAGAAGCUUGCUUCUUUGCUGACGAGUGGCGGACGGGUGAGUAAUGUCUGGGAAACUGCCUGAUGGAGGGGGAUAACUACUGGAAACGGUAGCUAAUACCGCAUAACGUCGCAAGACCAAAGAGGGGGACCUUCGGGCCUCUUGCCAUCGGAUGUGCCCAGAUGGGAUUAGCUAGUAGGUGGGGUAACGGCUCACCUAGGCGACGAUCCUAGCUGGUCUGAGAGGAUGACCAGCCACACUGGAACUGAGACACGGUCCAGACUCCUACGGGAGGCAGCAGUGGGGAAUAUUGCACAAUGGGCGCAAGCCUGAUGCAGCCAUGCCGCGUGUAUGAAGAAGGCCUUCGGGUUGUAAAGUACUUUCAGCGGGGAGGAAGGGAGUAAAGUUAAUACCUUUGCUCAUUGACGUUACCCGCAGAAGAAGCACCGGCUAACUCCGUG
rnacentral:rRNA from 1 species